GACGAACGCUGGCGGCGUGCUUAACACAUGCAAGUCGAACGGAAAGGCCCUGCUUUUGUGGGGUGCUCGAGUGGCGAACGGGUGAGUAACACGUGAGUAACCUGCCCUUGACUUUGGGAUAACUUCAGGAAACUGGGGCUAAUACCGGAUAGGAGCUCCUGCUGCAUGGUGGGGGUUGGAAAGUUUCGGCGGUUGGGGAUGGACUCGCGGCUUAUCAGCUUGUUGGUGGGGUAGUGGCUUACCAAGGCUUUGACGGGUAGCCGGCCUGAGAGGGUGACCGGCCACAUUGGGACUGAGAUACGGCCCAGACUCGUACGGGAGGCAGCAGUGGGGAAUAUUGCACAAUGGGCGGAAGCCUGAUGCAGCAACGCCGCGUGGGGGAUGACGGCCUUCGGGUUGUAAACCGCUUUCGCCUGUGACGAAGCGUGAGUGACGGUAAUGGGUAAAGAAGCACCGGCUAACUACGUG
rnacentral:rRNA from 1 species